rnacentral:lncRNA from 1 species
UUUUUCUCUCUCUCUCUAGAAUUCUAUUCUUUUAAGUUUUAUUUUUCACCCCAUAAUAAUUAAUAAAGCCCUGCAUCGUUUUAAGUAUUGUAACUCCCGAUCACCGCUACCCUUUUCGAUUGAUCUAGAACCCAUAAACUCAUGUCAGGGCUCUGCCCGACUAACUUCGUUGGGAUACGGUCUCGGGACAUCAGGACAAGGUUGAAUUAGGGGUACUAUACUUACCACGAGUGCAUUAUAUAUUUUUAAUAGCUCAGAAGUUAUAUCCAAAAUUUAUACCAGAAGGCUUUCUAGUUGAACCCCAAAGUUACAAAAACAAUCAGAAUCAGGAUCAGGGCCCCUAAAACUCAGGGGGGGUAUUCCCUACUUGACGAUUAUCCUUAUAACUCGUUGUAAAAUACGAGAUUCUUCGAUCCGUCGAUUCAGCUAACCUACAAACACACGUGGCAACCCUUCAAAGAAAUGUGACCCGUCGCGCCACGCGACGCCACCCAGGUGACCCCUCGCGACACGCGAGAGGGACAAAUUUUAAGUAUAAAUAGAGGGGUGUGGGACUUGCAGUUUGGCGUUGGAACGACGAUAAAACACAAUUCGUACACCGAGUUAUAGUCUGAUUACUACCAAACACACACUAGCUCGAAUUCUGCUACGAUACCGGGAUGUUUGAGUGUAAUUACCGUAGAUCGGGAUAAGAGUUGGAUACGGCACUGAAAGGCUUCAAGAUGUGGCUUAUUUUAUUAAUUAAAUCAAAUUAAGAAAUAUUGUUUUAUAUAAUCAGAUUUAUCUGUAUUAAAGCUACCAUUGUAAAACAUGGGUUUUAUCCCAUCUAUUUAAUAAAUAAAAAUCCGGUGUUU